UACGUAGGGGGCUAGCGUUGUUCGGAAUCAUUGGGCGUAAAGCGCACGUAGGCGGCUUGUUAAGUCAGGGGUGAAAUCCCGGAGCUCAACUCCAGAACUGCCUUUGAUACUGGCGAUCUUGAGUCCGGGAGAGGUGAGUGGAACUCCGAGUGUAGAGGUGAAAUUCGUAGAUAUUCGGAAGAACACCAGUGGCGAAGGCGGCUCACUGGCCCGGUACUGACGCUGAUGUGCGAAAGCGUGGGGAGCAAACAGG
rnacentral:rRNA from 1 species